UCGAUCCACGGUUUCGUUUAUUUGUUUAUAUUUAAUAUAUUGAUUCUCUUUUUCUUUCUUUUUUGGACAAAUUAUUGUCGAACGAACAAUAUGUGUCUUAUCGCAGAACAUUUAACGAAAACCUACAAAUCAGAAGAUGAUACGAUCUUUGAAUCAAUGAAAAAAAUUGUCGAUAAUCAACCUAUUACGUCUUCGUUUAUCAAAUUUUCAUCUCAGAUUCGGAAUUCUACAGAGAUAAUUAUAAAGAUGAUGAUUUUGCCCAAUGAAGACGAUGUACAAAGAUAAGUUUUCUGUUACGGCUCUAUUCAAACAAAUAAUGUUUUUAAUAUAUAUGGUCCUGAUGAUACAAAGUUCCAUGUUUACAAAGAAGUAAAAAAUUUCGAGUUUUAGUCUUUUAAAGAAGGCAAAUUUGAUGUCGUUUAGAAGCCAUAACAGAAUCUGGAAGCAAUGUUAAAGGUGAAGCAUCAUUUGCAAGUAACAUAAGAAUAUGGAGAAGGGAAGAGAAAUGUUGUCAUUGGACCUAUCCAGAAAUCUAUACGUAAAAAGAUACAGAAUAUCUCGGAGUGCAAUAUUUGGCAUCACAUUGAAUAUUAACCCUCACAAGGAUCGAAUUUUAUAUCAACGUCCGGAUCCGUAUUAGAAGCCCAAGAUCCAUCUGGUAGCUCGACACCCGUUCAUAGGGUCCGCGUGUUUAUCCGGAAAAAUACCCAGGAUCCGCGUUUUUUUUAAUGUGUAAUUGUUGAGUUUAACCUUAAACGAAAUCUUUUUGUUUACUCUUACAAAUUAAAAAUUCUAAUGACAUUCCUUGUAAUA